CCUGUUGCUGCAUUAGCCGAGUUGUAUUUUGCUAGAUAGGGAAGGAGGCUUGUCUGCUGUCUGGUAGGAGGGCUUUGUCUCUCUCUCUCUCUCUCUCUGUGUCUUUCUCUCUGUCUCUCACACUCUCGCUUGCUCUUUCUCUCUCUCUCUCUCCCGUCUCUGUGGUUUGUAAGGUAGGUUGCAGUGUGUGUAUAUACACAACAUCAAGAGCAGGAAAAUGGACUCAUUAGGGAGACAGGCAGUCAUUACCAUUCACACUGCACUUCCAGGGAGACAGCGACUAUGAGGAGACAGACUGAGGACUGGGGAGCAAGGGAAUUAGAGAGCUUAACACUUCUGCUGCUUCCUGCUUUUGCUGCAACAAUUCUUCCUUUUACUUACAAACAGAGCUCAGCCUUGCAUCCCAUCCCACCCUGUUGAUUUCUCUUUGGUUACAUGAGUGCCUGAAGUUACAUUUUAGAUGCUGAAAUCACUGCACCUUAAAAACAAAAAAGGUUGAGUUGAAUUCCAUUCCUCUUCCCUUGUGUUAUAAGAGAUUUCAAGAUGAUGGACCUUUGGAUAUUCAUUUGACUUAAAAAAGCUGUUAUGAGAUUUAAA